rnacentral:lncRNA from 1 species
CCCUGGCCGCGUGGCUGCCCCGUGGGCUGGCCCGUUGCUCGCUGCGUUUUCCGUUUCUCCCGCGCUCGGUGGCCCUUCGGUCGCCGUCCUCGCCCGCCGCCCCGCCGCGCCCCGCGCGGCGGGCUGCUUUGGCUGGCUCGCUCGUCGCGGCUCCGCUGGCGCCUGCGUUGUCUUGGCCCCGUGCCUGCUUGGCGGCCCCCCGCUGCCGUGCGGCCGCCUCCCGGCGCCCGUGUCCCCUCGCUCGUGCGGGCCUCCCGUGCCUGCUGCGUUGCGCCGUGCUUGCGUGCUGCUCCCCGUCCCCCGGGCCGCCGUGCUCGCUCCCCGUUGCCUUCGUCGCGCUCCCCCCCCGGGGUGCGGCUCGUCGGCUCGCGCGCGCCCGCGGCGUUUGCCUCGUGCCGCCGUCCGCCUCUGGCCGGCGGCCCCGCGGCCCCCUCGCUGGCGCUUUUGGUCUCGGCUGUGGCUCCCGCUGCCGGCCGGCGCCGCGUUGGCGUCCCGCGCCCCCGCCUCGGUCCGCCCGCCCGCCCGCCGGCCCGCCCGGCCCGCCGCCUCCGCGCGUCGGCCGGCGCUGGCCCGUCUGCGCGGCCGUGCUCCCUGGUUGCUCCUGCCCGUCGUCCUCUGCUUGUCUCCCCGCUUCCGCCCUGCCUGUGCCCGUCUGCCCUCCUUCGCCCUGUGCCCCUGCGCCUGGCUCCUUCCCUCCGUUCUCGUUUGUUUGCUGGUCCGUGCUCCUCGGCUCCCCGUCGUCCUUCUCGCGCUCCUCCGUGCCCCCCCCCGCCUUCCGGGCGGGGCGCCUUUCUUCGCUCCCCGGCUGCCGCGGGCUCUGCCCGCCGCUCCGCUGCUUCCUGCUCCCUUGCCGGCUCGCCCGGCCUUCGUGCCGGCGCCGCCUCCUUCCCCUUUCUGCCCUCUCCCCUUUCGCUGGUCGGCUCGGGGCCUCCCCUGGUGGUGCCGGGUGCCGGCGCCUUCGGGUUCGCUUCCGGCGCGGGCGCCUGCGCCCCGGCUCCCCCUCCCCGGCCGGCCGCCGGCGCGCCCCUUCCCCCCUCCUGCCCCGGGGCGGUCGUGCCCCUCCCUCCCCUCCCGGGCGCGUUCGUGUCUGGUCCUUGGCCUGCGUCCCCUCUCCCUCCCUUCCCGCGGCUCCCUUGGCGGGCCCGUCUGGUGCCCGCCGCCGCGGUCCUUCCCGCUCCCCUCGCGUCUCUUUCCGUUGUUGCCGUUCCCCGCUCGUCGUUGGCCCUUGGGCCGGGCCGGCCGGUCCGCCUCCCGGCGCGCCCCGCCCGGCUCGCCCCUUCUGCCGGCGCUGCGCUCCUGGCCUUCCCUGGCCGGGUCGUGCCUCCGGCGCCGUUCCUUUGCCGCCCUUCGCGUGCUCCCCGCCCGCCCUCGCUCUGGCUCCCUUCGCCUGGGCUCCCCUCCUCGGCUUCCGGUCCUCUUGUGUUGGCCUUCGGGCUCGGCGUCCUGCUUCCUCGGGCCCGUCGGGGGCCUUCGUCUUUCCUCGUCCGCGGUGCCCUUCUUGGCUUUCUGCCCGCCGCCCCCUGCGCCCGCCUUUGCCCCGGCUGUUUUCCUUCCUCCCGCCCGCCCGUUGGGGGCUCGCCGCCGCUCCGCUCCCGUCCUCGUCUCCCCCUCCCCGCUGCCGCCCCGGGCUCCGCGGGUGUUCCUCCUCGGCCCCCGCUGGCCCCUUCUGCGCCCUCCCGUCUUUGGGUUCCGGGGGGCGUCUGGUCGCCCGGCUGCCCCUUCCCGGCCUUGCCGGCCGGGCCCCCCCGGCGUGGCGCCUGCGGCUUCCUUUGCCUCCCCCGGGGCCCCUUCCCCGGUCCCGCCCUCGCCCGGCUUGCCCGCCUGCGCGCUCUUUCUUGCUUCUCUGGGUGGUGGUGCCUGGCCGUUCUUCGUUGGUGGCGCGCUUUGUCUGGUUCCUUCCGUUCCCGCCCGCGCCCUCCGCCUGCUCCCUCGCUCUGCGGCGCCCUCCCUCCGUCGUUCGCUUCUUCGCGGGCCUCUGGCCGUUUCGGCCCCGGCCGUUUGCGGCCCUCCCCGGUCUGUGCUGCCCUUCGCUGUUCUGGGCCGCCCGCGCGCUCCCCUGCUGUCUCCCCCGCGUCUCUCGCCUUGGCCGCCCGGCCCGGGUCCUCUUGGGCCCUUUCCUCGUGCUGGGGCUCGCUCCUUGCCCUUGUUGGUCUUCCCCGCGGCCUGCCUCGUCCGCGCGCGUCCUCCGCUCGCGUUGCCUCCGUCCCUGCCCUUUGUCCCCCCGCCCGUCGCUCCUCCCGCUUGCCUGGUCCGGUGCCGUGUUCGGCUCGCGGCGCCGGGGGCGGUUCGCCGCCCCCGCCGUCGCGCGCCGUCCCUUGCCCCUUCUCCUUUCGCGGCCGGCGCCGUCGUCCCCCGGUUUCCGUCGGUGCCCCUGCGGCCGGCUCCUUGCCGUGCCCCUUCCCCCCCCGCCCGCGCCCGCGUCCCCCGUGCCGCCGGGCUCCGGCCCGGCCCGCUGCCCCCCCGCCCCUCCCGCGGGGCCGGGGGGUGCCGCGCCCCGCCCCCCGGCGCCCCGGGCGCCCCGGCCCCCCGUCCUCCCUCCUGCCCCGCGGCGCGGUCGGCCCGCCUUCCGCUCCCCGGGCCGCGGUUCCCCUUCCUCGCCCCGCCUCUCGGCCCCGGCUCUCUCGGCUCUCGCCUCGCUGCCGCCCGUCGCCCCUGCGCUCCCUGGUGUGCCUUGCCGCCUCCCGCGCCCCCUCGCGUUUUUGCCCGCCCGUUGCGCCCGCCGCCUUCUGGCGGCGGGCCCGUCUGCCUGGGCGUCCCGCCCCCGCCCCUCCCCCCCCCCCGCGGGGCGCGGGCCGUGGCGUCUGGCCCCCCGCGCCGCCCGGCGCGGUGGGCCGCCGCCGGGGCUGCCGGCGCCCCGCGCCGGGCGCCGCCCGUGGUGGGCGCCCUCCCGUUGUUGUUCUCGGUGCCGCGUCCCGGCGCGCGGCCGGCCCUUCGGCCCUCCGGCCCCCUCGCGCGCCCGCGCUUGCCCUCGGCCCGCGCCCCCCGGUCCGUCGGGCCUCCCCGCUGCGUUUCCGCCUCUCCCUCCGCGGCGGCGCCGCCCCUUCCGCGGCUUCCCCUCGUCCCGGCGCGCGCCCCGGGCGCCGCCCCGCUUGCGCCUCGGGCGGCCUCGCCGCCCGCCUUGUCGUCUGGCGCGGCGUCCUCCGCGCCGGCCCGGGCCCCCGUUCUCUGGCCCGGGCCGCCUGGGCGGGUGCGCGCCCCGUCCGGCCCGGCCCCUGUCGCCCCCCGCGGCGCCGUCCCCGCGUCGGGUUGUUUGGGCCUGCCGCCCCCCUCGGGCGGUCCCUCCGUCCCCGGCUCCCUCCCGGCGCGCGCCCGCUCGCGCCCCGUCCCGCGCGGGCCCGCUGCCCCGGCCUUUGCCCCGCGCGUCCCCGCGUGCUUGCCCUUGCCGGGCGGGCCGCGGCUGGGGGCUGGCGCCGCGCCCCGGCCGUCUGCGGCCCGGCUCCUGCUGGUCCGCCGCUCGGCUCGGGGCGUGGCCCGUUGUCGCCCGCGCCGGCGGCCCCGCCCGGGGGCCCUCGGCGCCCCCGGCCGCCGUCGUCGGCGCGGCCGGUCUCCGCGCGCCUCUGGCGCGCCCCUCGGGGCGCUGCGCCGCCCCGGCCUGCGCGCUCCCCCUCCGCCCCGUCUUGCCCCCGGCCCCCGGCGUCUGCCCUGCGUGCGCGUCGCCGGGUUCCGCCCCCUGCGCUGCGCCCGGCCGCUGCCGCGCGGGCGGCCCUCCCGGGCCGCCCCGCUGGCCGCCCCUGCUCUUCUGUGCCGGGUUCGCGUUGGCGCCCGCCUGUCGGGCCCCGCCCGCUGGUGCCCUCUGCCUGCGCGGGGCGCCGCCCGCGGCCCCUCUGGUGGCGGCUCGCCGCGCUCCUGCCGUGCCCCUCGUUCGUCUGCCUUGGGUCUCGGGGCGCCCGCCUCCUCGCCCCCUCUCGUCGCUGGUUCCCUCCGCCGUUUCCCUCCGGCUCGCUGGCGCCCCCCCGCGUUCUCUCGGGUCCCGCCCCUGCUUCGCGGCCUCGGGGGCGCCCCGCCCUCGCCCUCUUCUCCCCUUUCCCUCGGUCGGCCGGCGCGGCUGCUUCGGUGCGCCGUGCCCCGGCCUCGGGCGCUCCCCGUGGGCCCUUUUUGGUCCGCCGCCCUGGCGCUGCGGGCUGCCCCGGCCGCCGGGUUCCGGUGCCCCCUGCGCGCUCCCCUCGCCCCCCCCGGGUGUUGGUCGCUUCCGCCCGCCGGCCGGUGGUCCUGGCCGUCGCCCUCCGCUCCGGCGUGUGUCCCCCUCCCCUGCCGCCUCCCCUCGCCCCGCCCUGGCUGGCGCUGCCGCGCGCGCCCCCCCCCGGCCCUCUGGGCGCGCGCCCUGCCCCGCUGCGUCGGCGGGCGCGGCGGCCGCCGCCCCCCCGGGGCGCGCGCCCGGGCGGCGCGGCCGUCGGUGCCGCUCUUGGUGGUCGUCGCCCCUCUUCCCCUGCGCCCUUUGCCGGCCGCCGCGGCGCCCGGUUCCCUGUGCCCGGCCCUUGCCCCUGGGUCCGCCGCUCCUCCGGGCCGGGGGCCCCCGGCCGCUCGCGCGCUCCCGCGCGUCCCCCGCCCGGGCCUCGGGUUCCGCUUUCCCGCGCCGGGCCGUGGCGGCCGCCGGCGCCGUUCGGCCGUCCGGCGCCGCCGGCGGGGGCCUCGGGCCGCGUUCUCUUUUCUGCUUCCCGGCCCGCCCCCCUGGCCUCGGUUCCGCCGGCGGUCGGGUCCCGCGGCCGGCCGCGCCCCGCCCCUCGCGCGGUGUCCGGUGCGCCCCCGGCGGCCCUUGCCCUCCGGCGGCCCGCCUUCCGUCCCCGCCCGGUCGUCCUCCUCCCCGCCUCCGGUCUCCCCGGUGCCCCGCCUCUGGCCCCUGGCCCCUGUCGGCCCGGGCCGUCGGCCCCCGGCUCCGUCCUUCGGGCCCCGGCUUGGCUCUGCGGGUUGGGCUCGGGGGUCCCGGCCCCGCCCCCGUCGGCUGCUGGCGGCCUGCUCGCGCUGCUCGCGCGGCGCGCGCGGGCCGCCGCGUGCCGGCCGGGGGCCGGCCCGGGCCCGGCCCCCUCGGGGGCCUUCCCCGGGCGUCGCCCCCCGCCUCCGCCCUGGUCCGGCCCCGGGGCCUCCGCCUGUUUCCUUCCCCCCGCCUUGCGCCGGUCCUCGCGGCUGCUGCCGCCCUGUGCUUUCUGCCCCGUGCUCUGCCUGUCCCCGUGCCGCCCUUCCCCCCGCGCGGGUCCCGGCGGGCGUCCCUCUGCCUCUCUUCCGGUCGCCCCUGCCUCGUCCUCUCCUUCGUGCCGCGCCUGCCUGGCUUCCCGCGCUUCCCCCUGUCCCUGUCUCCUCUCCCGCGCCCCCCCGCCCCGGGCCCGGGCUUGGCGGCCUCCGCGGGGCCCGCCGCCCCUGUUGCGCUUGCCUCUCGUCCGCCUUUGUGCCCUGCCUUGCGCGGUGUCGGCUCCGUGGGCGCCUCCGGGCGCCCGUGCCCUCCCCCUCCUUUUCCCGUUCUUUUCCUUCUUCCGUGGGUCGGCCGCGGGGCCCCGCCCCUCCUUUUGGCUCCCCGGCCCGGCCUCGCCGGGCCGCUCCGGGCGGCCGCCCUUGUCCGGUGGGGCGUUUGGCUGGGGCGGCCCCUCUGUUCCCGCUCCCGCCGGUGUCCUCCGCUGCGCUCCCCGCGCCCGCCCUCUCGUGUGGCCCCCGGGUCCCGCUCGUUUGCUUCUGCUUUCCCGUCCGCCUCCGCCCCGUGCCCGCGUGGCCUCUCGCUCCUUUCGCCCUUCGGCGUUUGCCGCUCGCGGUGUCCGCCCGUUCCCCCGGGCUCCCUGGCUUGUGGCCGCCCCGCGUUCCUCGCGCCGUUGCUUUUUGCUCCUUCGCUGUCGGCUCUUCCUCUCCUUGUGCCGCCGCCUUCCCCCGUGUUGGCUUGUUCCCCCCCCCUCGGGCCCGUGCGCUGGGUUUCGCCCGUCGUGCGCCCGGUUCGUUUUCCCCUCCUGCUGCCCGCGCCGCGCUCGUCCUUCCCCUCGUCCGCGCGGCCCCGUUGCUUCCCCCCUUGGUCCUCGCGCUUGGUUGCCCCGCCCGUGGCGCGCCGCUCCCGUGUGCCGGCUUCUGCCUGCCCGCCUCUCCGUCCGCCUCCCCGCUCGCCCCGGCGCCUCUGCUCGCCGCCCGCCCCGCCCCCGUUCGGGCGUUCGCGCCCCCGGGCCCGUGCCCUUGGCUCCGCCCGCCCGGCCGCCGCGCCGCGGCGGGCCGCCUCGCCGCUCCCUUCCCCCGGGCGGCGUGCUGCCUCCUUUGCCGCCGCCUUCCCCGCGCCGGGGCCUUGUCCGUGGCCGCGUGGCCUUGCUGCCCCGCUCCCCUGCGCUCCCGCCCCGCGUCGCCCGGCUUCGUCCCUCCCCCCCCUCCGCCCCGCCUCGCGCCUCGGUUUCGCCCCCCCGGGCGCGGGGCCCCGGUCUUCCGCCGGCCCGGCCCCGGCGCCGCGUGGCCGCCGCCGCGCCCGCCCCCCCCCGCCCCGUCCCGCGUGUGGCCCGCCCCCGCCGCUGCUCCGUCUCCUUGGGGUGCCGGGCCGGUCUGCGCCGGGGCGGCCUGGCUGUUCGGCCUUGCGUUGGGCCGCCCCGCGGGGUUCGCCCCUGGCGCCGGGCCGCCCCCGCGGUUCGGGCCUGGCCCCGGCCUCCGCUCCGUCCCCGCGUGUGGCCGCCCCGCCGGUCCUCUGUCUGUCUUGGGUGCCGGGCCUGGCGGCCCGGCGGGCCCCGGCCCGGCGGCGCCCGGCGCCGGGCGGCCUGGCUGUUCGGCCUUGCGUCUGGGCCGCCCCUGCGGGGUUCGCCCCUGGCGCCCGCGCCGCCCCUGCGGCCCGGGCCCGCCCCCGCCCCCGCUCCGUCCCGCGUGUGGCCUGGCCGCCCCCCGCUCCGGUGUCUGUCCGGCUUGCGUGCCGGGCCCGGUGGCCCGGCGGGCCCCGGGCGGCGGCGCGCGGCGCCGGGCGGCCGGGCUGUUCGGCCUUGCGUCUGGGCUGCCCCCGCGGUGUUCGCCCUGGCGCCGGGCCGCCCCGGCGGCUCGGGCCCGCCCUCGCUCCGUCCCGCCUGUGGCCCGCCCCCGUCCUGUCUUUGGUGCCGGGCCCGUGGCCGGCGGGCCCCGGCGGCCGCGCGCCGGCGGCUCGGCCCGGCGGCGCGCGCGCCGGGCGGCCUGGCUGUUCGGCCUUGCGUUUGGGCUGCCCCGCGGCGUUCGCCCUGGCGCGCGGGCCGCCCCCCGGUUCGGCCCCGGCCUCGGCCUCCGCUCCGUCCCCGCGUGUCGCCCGCCCCCGCCGCUCCUGUGUCGUCUUGGGUGCCGGGCCGGUGGCCCGGCGGGCCCGCCCCGGCGGCCCGCGCCGCCGGGCGGCCGGGCCGUUCGGCCUUGCGUCUGGGCUGCCCCGCGGGGUUCGCCCUGGCGCCCGGGCCGCCCCGGCGGCUCGGGCCCGCCUCGCCCUCGCUCCGUCCCCGCGUGUGGCCGCCCCGCCCUCCGUGCCUGUCUUGCUUGCCGGCCCGGUGGCCCGGCGGGCCCCGGGCGGCGGCGCGCGGCGCCGGCGGCCGGGCCGUUCGG